rnacentral:rRNA from 1 species
AUUGAACGCUGGCGGCAUGCUUUACACAUGCAAGUCGAACGGUAACAGGUUAAGCUGACGAGUGGCGAACGGGUGAGUAAUGCAUCGGAACGUGCCCGAUCGUGGGGGAUAACGCAGCGAAAGCUGCGCUAAUACCGCAUACGAUCUGAGGAUGAAAGCGGGGGACCGAAAGGCUCCGCGCGAUCGGACCGGCCGAUGUCAGAUUAGGAAGUUGGGGGGAUAAAGGCUCACAAAGCCGACGUUCUGUAGCUGGUCUGUGAGGACGACCAGCCGCACUGGGGGUGAGACAGAGCCAAGACUCCUACGGAAGGCAGCGGUGGUGAAUUUUGGACAAUGGUCGCAAGCCUGAUCCAGCAAUGCCGCGUGCAUGAAGAAGGCCUUCGGGUUGUAAACUGCUUUUGUAAGGAGCGAAAAGGCUCUCUCUAAUACAGGGGGUUCAUGACGGUACCGUAAGAAUAAGCACCGGCUAACUACGUGCCAGCAGCCGCCGUAA